rnacentral:lncRNA from 10 species
GAAAGGGAUCCUCAUCCUCUGGGUGGGGGUGCAUGCUUCCCUCCCUGUGAUUCAGCCUCUCCUAUUUCCCACUGCCUCUCAGGCCUGUUUCACCCGUUCUGCCUGACUCCUGAAAGCAUUUGCGUUUGCAAGCCCAGUCUAGGUGCACUUCCUGACCACUUUGUCUCUGCCACCUCCCUGGUGCUCUGCUUGCAGGCUGGGCCUGGGGCUCUCCUGAGCCACAAACCCUGGCUUCCUCCCUCUCCCCUCUUCCUUCCCCGCCCCCUACUUCUCUUCCAGACUCCUGUUUCCCUACCGCAUUCCUCCUCCCCUUCCCUUUUCUCCUUUUCUUCCUGUCUCCCUUCCCCUUUUCUUCUCUCCUCAAAAACCCUUUCCAGGCUGGAGUAAGUCUCUCUCCCUUCAUCCAGCCUUUGCUUGAGAGUCAGCUGAAUUCUCCCAAGGACUUUGGCUUUGUUUCCGUCCGAUCAGCAGCCUCCAGAAGGAGGCUGAUGUGGGCCAAGUGUGCGUGCACAAACACUGCCUUUGCCGUGAGCGCCUCCAGGUCCUGCGUAAGGCCAUGGAGAGACUUCAAAGAGAGGUCAAGAUGGCAUUGCCCUGCCGUGUGCCUCUUGGGAAGCCUGGGCCUCGGAGUGACAAGACCUUGGUUCCUGUCCCAGUGCUGCUGCCACCCGGCCCUGUCAUUGCAGGCAUGCCACCUAGCCCUCUCUUCCUCAGUGUCCUCAUCUAUAAAAUGGAACAAUGUCUUCCCUAACCAUGUGCCAAGGAUUUCAAUGGGAUAAAAUGAUAUAUGUGUGCUGCAAAGUAAAAACACUGUGUAAAUAUAUUUCCAC